UACGGGGGGGGCAAGCGUUGUUCGGAAUUACUGGGCGUAAAGGGCUCGUAGGUGGCCAACUAAGUCAGACGUGAAAUCCCUCGGCUUAACCGGGGAACUGCGUCUGGUACUGGAUGGCUUGAGUUUGGGAGAGGGACGCGGAGUUCCAGGUGUAGCGGUGAAAUGCGUAGAUAUCUGGAGGAACACCGGUGGCGAAGGCGGCGUCCUGGACCAACACUGACACUGAGGAGCGAAAGCCAGGGGAGCAAACGGG
rnacentral:rRNA from 1 species